GUGUCGUUCAUGCUGGUUACAGGUCUGGGGGGCACAAUAUGAGCCAGGUUUAGAGGUUUUUCAGGCUGGUCAGGGAACAUUGGGUGCAAAGGUUCACGGCUGGAAGCACAGCUUAAAGACUUGCUAAGUGCAUUAGUUAGCUUCUUAGCAGGUGAUUUCCAUGACGUGUACUCUUUCAUUUGGUGCUGGUUGCUGUGGGAACCGCUGGCAUGGCCUC
rnacentral:lncRNA from 1 species